UACAAGCUUGAUAUUACAAGCGAGGGGCCUCGAGGGCUAGAAUACGGAAGCUCGAUAAACACACAAGUCAGCGGAAGCAACAAUAUCUGAGUACAGACAUAACAUGGGGUGCCUUAGAGAAGGCUAGCACAAAAGAUACACGAUCGAACGAGGCGAGGCCUCCUGCCUGGGAACCUCCUAAACUACUCCUGGUCUUCAGCGGCCUC
rnacentral:lncRNA from 1 species